rnacentral:rRNA from 1 species
AUCUAAGCGGGAAGCCCCCCCCAAGAUUAGAUCUCCCUGGGAGCUCGACUCCCCUGAAGGGCCCACGAAGACUACGUGGUUGAUAGGCUGGGUGUGUAAGGCCAGUAAUGGCUUCAGCUAACCAGUACUAAUUGCCCGUGAGGCUUGACCAUAUAACCUCA